UACAGAGGGUGCAAGCGUUAAUCGGAAUUACUGGGCGUAAAGCGUGCGCAGGCGGUUGUGCAAGACAGAUGUGAAAUCCCCGGGCUCAACCUGGGAACUGCAUCUGUGACUGCAUCGCUGGAGUGCGGCAGAGGGGGAUGGAAUUCCGCGUGUAGCAGUGAAAUGCGUAGAUAUGCGGAGGAACACCGAUGGCGAAGGCAAUCCCCUGGGCCUGCACUGACGCUCAUGCACGAAAGCGUGGGGAGCAAACAGG
rnacentral:rRNA from 1 species